AAGGAUCAUUAUCAAAACAGCGGACUUCGGUCCUUGCUGCACCCUUGUCUUUUGCGUACCGUAUGUUUCCUCGGCGGGCUUGCCUGCCGGUUGGACAAUAUCAAACCUUUUUGUAGUUGCAAUCAGCGUCAGAAAAUAAUAAUAAUUACAACUUUCAACAACGGAUCUCUUGGUUCUG
rnacentral:misc_RNA from 1 species